UACGAAGGGGGCUAGCGUUGCUCGGAAUUACUGGGCGUAAAGCGCACGUAGGCGGAUUGUUAAGUAGGGGGUGAAAUCCUGGAGCUCAACUCCAGAACUGCCUUCGAUACUGGCGAUCUCGAGUUCGGGAGAGGUGAGUGGAACUGCGAGUGUAGAGGUGAAAUUCGUAGAUAUUCGCAAGAACACCAGUGGCGAAGGCGGCUCACUGGCCCGAUACUGACGCUGAGGUGCGAAAGCGUGGGGAGCAAACAGG
rnacentral:rRNA from 1 species